rnacentral:misc_RNA from 1 species
AGUGAGCGUCUAUUCUACCCAGAAUUUAGCUUUGUAAUGGUUGUUCUCCCUCUAUGCAUUCUUACUUCCUCAUUUGGAUUUUGGAAUUGCAACAAACUUAAUAAAGUUCAUUAGUUGUUAACCCUGUUUUUUCUUACUUAAAUGGUUUAGUUACAUAGGAGACAUCCAUUAAUAUCUAUUAGUUUGUCAGGCUUUAUGUUGCAUUGCUUAUUUUGCUACUAAGCAUCCGUAACUUUUCUUUUGCAUAAAGUUCUUGUUCAUUGUCCAAAAUGCAGGGCAGCAGUGGAAGACCUGGCUU